CAGGGUGUAGCGCAGCUAGGUAGCGCACUCGGUUCGGAUCCGAGAGGUCGUAGGUUCGAUUCCUAUCGCCCUGACCA
rnacentral:tRNA from 1 species